UACGAAGGGGGCUAGCGUUGUUCGGAAUGACUGGGCGUAAAGCGCACGUAGGCGGACAUUUAAGUCAGGGGUGAAAUCCCGGGGCUCAACCUCGGAACUGCCUUUGAUACUGGGUGUCUGGAGUGUGGAAGAGGUGAGUGGAAUUCCGAGUGUAGAGGUGAAAUUCGUAGAUAUUCGGAGGAACACCAGUGGCGAAGGCGGCUCACUGGUCCAUUACUGACGCUGAGGUGCGAAAGCGUGGGGAGCAAACAGGG
rnacentral:rRNA from 1 species